CCUACGGGUGGCAGCAGUGAGGAAUAUUGGUCAAUGGACGCAAGUCUGAACCAGCCAUGCCGCGUGCAGGAAGACGGCCCUAUGGGUUGUAAACUGCUUUUGUCCGGGGGUAAACGCGGAUACGCGUAUCUGUCUGAAAGUAUCGUACGAAUAAGGAUCUGCUAAAUCCGUGCCAGCAGCCGCGGUAAUACGGGGGAUUCAAGCGUUUUCCGGAUUUAUUGGGUUUAAAGGGUGCGUAGGCAGUAGGAUAAGUUAGGGGUGAAAUCCCGAGGCCCCACUUCGGAAGUGCCGCUGAUACUGGUCGGCUAGAGAGCGGGUGCGGUAGGCGGAAUGUAUGGUGUAGCGGUGAAAUGCUUAGAGAUCACACAGAACACCGAUUGCGAAGGCAGCUUACCAAGCUACUACUGACGCUGAGGCACGAAAGCGUGGGUAUCAAACAGGAUUAGAUACCCUUGUAGUC
rnacentral:rRNA from 1 species